UGAUGGACUUUACCCAGAAGGACACCUGCAUCUUCAGAGGGGAAUUGUUGGAAGUGUGAGUUGUCUGUUGCCUCAAAGAAGCAUGAAAUCCCUGGGAACUUCUUGUGCCUUUUGAACAAAUCAGCUCGAUGAAGGGAGAUGACUCAGUCUCCUUUGCCCCCGAAAGCAAGAGCCAACUCUGGCUACCAGCAGUCUUGGCUCCACAAAAGAACAAUUUACCCUGGUUCCAUCCCAGACUCCAGUCAGUCUCCCUGCAGCUUCAAGUGGCAUCAAAGAGGGAAAAUGCGUCUGUUGAAUCUUUGUAUUGGUGUAUAAACCAGUCCUGACUUGGCCUGGAGCAAGACUGCUGAUGGCAAAUUGAGACCUGGAGACACAUCUCAUUGCCUGAUGGAUGGGAGAAGCCACCCAGCCAUGUUGCCUCAUUU
rnacentral:lncRNA from 1 species